UACAGAGGGUGCAAGCGUUGUUCGGAAUUACUGGGCGUAAAGCGCGUGUAGGCUGCGGUGUAAGUCGGACGUGAAAGCCCUUGGCUUAACCAAGGAAGUGCGUCCGAUACUGCGUCGCUUGAGUGUCGGAGGGGGCGGCGGAAUUCCCGGUGUAGAGGUGAAAUUCGUAGAUAUCGGGAGGAACACCUGUGGCGAAGGUGGCCGCCUGGACGAUAACUGACGCUGAGACGCGAAAGCGUGGGUAGCAAACAGG
rnacentral:rRNA from 1 species